rnacentral:rRNA from 1 species
AGCAGCCGCGGUAAUUCCAGCUCCAAUAGCGUAUAUUAAAGUUGUUGCAGUUAAAAAGCUCGUAGUUGAAUUUCGGGAUCAGUACGCUGGUCGUGCCUUGGUAUGUACUGGUGUUACCGGUUCCUACCUUCUGACGAACCGUCAUGUCAUUAAUUUGGUGUGGCGGGAAAUCAGGACUGUUACUUUGAAAAAAUUAGAGUGUUUAAAGCAGGCUCACGCUUGAAUACAUUAGCAUGGAAUAACGAAAUAGGACGUUUGAUUCUAUUUUGUUGGUUUCUAGGAUCGACGUAAUGAUUAAUAGGGAUAGUUGGGGGCAUUAGUAUUCAAUUGUCAGAGGUGAAAUUCUUGGAUUUAUUGAAGACUAACUACUGCGAAAGCAUUUGCCAAGGAUGUUUCAUUAAUCAAGAACGAAAGUUAGGGAUCGAAGACGAUCAGAUACCGUCGUAGUCUUAACCAUAAACUAUGCCGACUAGGGAUCGGAUGAUGUUUAAUUUUUAAUGUACUCUAUUCGGCGUCCGUUAACGGGAACCUAGG